GCCGCGUGAGUGAUGAAGGUUUUCGGAUCGUAAAGCUCUGUUGUUAGGGAAGAACAAGUACCGUUCGAAUAGGGCGGUACCUUGACGGUACCUAACCAGAAAGCCACGGCUAACUACGUGCCAGCAGCCGCGGUAAUACGUAGGUGGCAAGCGUUGUCCGGAAUUAUUGGGCGUAAAGGGCUCGCAGGCGGUUUCUUAAGUCUGAUGUGAAAGCCCCCGGCUCAACCGGGGAGGGUCAUUGGAAACUGGGGAACUUGAGUGCAGAAGAGGAGAGUGGAAUUCCACGUGUAGCGGUGAAAUGCGUAGAGAUGUGGAGGAACACCAGUGGCGAAGGCGACUCUCUGGUCUGUAACUGACGCUGAGGAGCGAAAGCGUGGGGAGCGAACAGGAUUAGAUACCCUGGUAGUCCACGCCGUAAACGAUGAGUGCUAAGUGUUAGGGGGUUUCCGCCCCUUANUGCUGCAGCUUAACGCAUUAAGCACUCCGCCUGGGGAGUACGGUCGCAAGACUGAAACUCAAANGAAUUGACGGGGGCCCCGCACAAGCGGUGGAGCAUGUGGUUUAAUUCNAAACAACGCGAANAACCUUACCAGGUCUUGACAUCCUCUGANAAUCCUAAAGAUAGGACGUCCCCUUNCGGGGGCCAAA
rnacentral:rRNA from 1 species